rnacentral:tRNA from 1 species
GCGGGUGUGGCGGAAUUGGCAGACGCCCCAGAUUUAGGAACUGGCGCCGCGAGGCGUGGGGGGUCAAGACCCUUCACCCGCA